AGGGUGCAGGGCGGAUGCCUUGGCACUAGGAGCCGAUGAAGGACGUGAUAAGCUGCGAUAAGCUUCGGGGAGUUGCACGUAAACUUUGAUCCGAAGAUUUCCGAAUGAGGAAACUCACUUAGAGUAAUGUCUAAGUAUCAUUAAGUGAAUACAUAGCUUAAUGAGGGGAACUCAGGGAACUGAAACAUCUAAGUACCUGAAGGAAGAGAAAGAAAUUCGAUUCCGUAAGUAGCGGCGAGCGAACGCGGAUUAGCCCAAACCAAUAAAGUUUUCUUUAUUGGGGUUGCGGACAUAUCAUAACGAAGAGGUAUCGUAAUUGAAGAGGUUUGGAAAGACCCACCACAGAAGGUAAUAGUCCUGUAUGUUAAACGAGAAGACUUUAGAUAUGAUCCAGAGUACCACGGGACACGUGAAACCCUGUGGGAAGCAGGAGGGACCACCCUCCAAGGCUAAAUACUACCUAGUGACCGAUAGCGUAUAGUACCGUGAGGGAAAGGUGAAAAGAACCCCGGGAGGGGAGUGAAAUAGAACCUGAAACCCUGCACUUACAAGCUGUGGAAGCACAUUUCUUGUGUGACCGCGUACUUUUUGUAGAACGGGCCAACGAGUUACGUUAAGUAGCAAGGUUAAGCACUUAAGGUGCGGAGCCGUAGCGAAAGCGAGUUUUAACUGAGCGUUCAGUUACUUGACGUAGACCCGAAACCGGGCGACCUACCCAUGAGCAGGAUGAAGCGAAAGUAAAAUUUCGUGGAGGUCCGAACCCACGAGCGUUGAAAAGCUCGGGGAUGACUUGUGGGUAGCGGUGAAAUUCCAAUCGAGCCCGGAGAUAGCUGGUUCUCCCCGAAAUAGCUUUAGGGCUAGCCUCAAGGUGAGAGAUACGGAGGUAGAGCACUGAAUGUCCUAGGGGGUAUUGCACCUACCGAAGACUAUCAAACUCCGAAUGCCGUCAUCUUAUACUUGGGAGUCAGACUGUGGGUGAUAAGAUUCAUAGUCGAAAGGGCAACAGCCCAGAUCGUCAGCUAAGGUCCCUAAAUGUAAGUUAAGUGGUAAAGGAUGUGGGAUUGCACAGACAACCAGGAUGUUGGCUUAGAAGCAGCCACUCAUUCAAAGAGUGCGUAAUAGCUCACUGGUCGAGUGAUCCUGCGCCGAAGAUUUCCGGGGCUAAAACUUACUACCGAAGCUACGGCAUCAGUAAUGAUGGGUAGGGGAGCUUCCCAUACGGGUUGAAGCAUGACCGUAAGGACAUGUGGACAGUAUGGGAGUGAGAAUGUUGGCAUGAGUAGCGAGAUGUGGGUGAGAAUCCCACAGGCCGUAAACCCAAGGUUUCCAGGGGAAGGUUCGUCCGCCCUGGGUUAGUCGGGACCUAAGCUGAGGCCGAAAGGCGUAGGUGAUGGACAACAGGUUGAUAUUCCUGUACUACCGAUAACCGUUUGAGAGAAGGGAUGACACAGUAGGAUAAGCUAAGCACACUGUUGGUUAUGUGUGCCCAAGCAUUGAGGCAGUCAAAGUAGGCAAAUCCGCUUUGAUAAUGCUGGGAUGUGAUGGGGAGCGAAAUUUAGUAGCGAAGUAGCUGAUUUCACACUGUCAAGAAAAGUCUCUAUCGAGGUUAAAGGUACCCGUACCGCAAACCGACACAGGUGGGUGAGGAGAGUAUCCUAAGGCCAGCGAGAGAACUGUUGUUAAGGAACUCGGCAAAAUGACCCCGUAACUUAGGGAUAAGGGGUGCCACCAUCAGGUGGCCGCAGAGAAUAGGCCCAAGCGACUGUUUACCAAAAACAUAGGUUUCUGCUAAGUCGCAAGACGAUGUAUAGGAGCUGACGCCUGCCCGGUGCUGGAAGGUUAAGGGGAUCUGUUAGAGCAAUCGAAGCAGUGAACUUAAGCCCCAGUAAACGGCGGCCGUAACUAUAACGGUCCUAAGGUAGCGAAAUUCCUUGUCGGGUAAGUUCCGACCCGCACGAAAGGCGUAACGAUUUGGGCACUGUCUCAACAACAGACUCGGUGAAAUUGUAAUUCCGGUGAAGAUGCCGGAUACCUGCGACAGGACGGAAAGACCCCAUGGAGCUUUACUGUAGCUUGACAUUGGGUCUUGGUACUACAUGUACAGGAUAGGUGGGAGGCUUUGAAACCAGGACGCCAGUUUUGGCGGAGCCAUCCUUGGGAUACCACCCUUGUAGUACUGGGACUCUAACCAUAGGCCAUGAAUCUGGUCUUGGGACACUGUCAGGUGGGCAGUUUGACUGGGGCGGUCGCCUCCCAAAAGGUAACGGAGGCGCUCAAAGGUUCUCUCAGUACGGUCGGAAAUCGUACGUAGAGUGUAAAGGCAAAAGAGAGCUUGAUUGCAAGACAUACAGGUCGAGCAAGGAUGAAAAUCGGACUUAGUGAUCCGGUGGUUCUGCGUGGAAGGGCCAUCGCUCAACGGAUAAAAGCUACCCUGGGGAUAACAGGCUUAUCUCCCCCAAGAGUCCACAUCGACGGGGAGGUUUGGCACCUCGAUGUCGGCUCAUCACAUCCUGGGGCUGUAGUAGGUCCCAAGGGUUGGGCUGUUCGCCCAUUAAAGUGGUACGCGAGCUGGGUUCAGAACGUCGUGAGACAGUUCGGUCCCUAUCCGUCGCAGGCGUAGGAAAUUUGAGAAGACCUGUCCUUAGUACGAGAGGACCGGGAUGGA
rnacentral:rRNA from 1 species